CCCCCUCUCUCCUGGGUUUUCGCUUUUCUUCUCGACGCCCCUUCGUUGAGUUGAAGCUUGGUAACGGAGGAAAGAAUGGCCACUGCCCUAGCCCGCAUCUCUAGAAAAGCCCUAGCGUCCUCGCACCCCCACCUUCUUAGCCGCACCUUCUCCGCUGAUGCUGGGGCAUCAACCAAAUCUAUAACGCCGUCGCCCGAUCGAGUCAAGUG
rnacentral:misc_RNA from 1 species